CGGGGGAGGCGGGAUCCUAGGCUGUGUCCCGGCGCCCUGUGCUCCGGAGCCUGCGCUGUUGGAUUCGUGCUCCCGGGGCCGCGCAACCCUCU
rnacentral:pre_miRNA from 1 species